UUUUUAUCAUCACUACAGCUUCAUGAAACUCUUUCUAGUAAAGGAAUAGACGUGUUGCACUUAAAAAUCUUGACUUCCUCAACACAUGCACGAAAACGAAGUGUGGAAACAAAGUCAUUUAAAUUGGAUAGAAAGGUAAAAACUUCCUCAAACAUCACAGAGACAAUAAACCUGAUUGACAGACUUCUGGAGAAACCAUACACCAGUGGAGCAGUAUUCUUAUAUGCCCAACCCGAGGACAUUUUCAUUUCUUAUAUUGGUAUGUGCUGCAUCUGACCAGACGAUGGGAGGAUCAGAUCAUGA
rnacentral:lncRNA from 1 species